GAUGAACGCUGGCGGCGUGCCUAAUACAUGCAAGUCGAGCGAACAGACGAGGAGCUUGCUCCUCUGACGUUAGCGGCGGACGGGUGAGUAACACGUGGAUAACCUACCUGUAAGACUGGGAUAACUUCGGGAAACCGGAGCUAAUACCGGAUAAUAUAUUGAACCGCAUGGUUCAAUAGUGAAAGACGGUUUUGCUGUCACGUAUAGAUGGAUCCGCGCCGCAUUAGCUAGUUGGUAAGGUAACGGCUUACCAAGGCAACGAUGCGUAGCCGACCUGAGAGGGUGAUCGGCCACACUGGAACUGAGACACGGUCCAGACUCCUACGGGAGGCAGCAGUAGGGAAUCUUCCGCAAUGGGCGAAAGCCUGACGGAGCAACGCCGCGUGAGUGAUGAAGGUCUUCGGAUCGUAAAACUCUGUUAUUAGGGAAGAACAAAUGUGUAAGUAACUAUGCACGUCUUGACGGUACCUAAUCAGAAAGCCACGGCUAACUACGUG
rnacentral:rRNA from 1 species